rnacentral:rRNA from 1 species
UACGGGGGGAGCAAGCGUUGUUCGGAUUUACUGGGCGUAAAGGGCGCGUAGGCGGUCAGCACAAGUCAGUUGUGAAAUCUCCGGGCUUAACUCGGAAAGGUCAACUGAUACUGUGCGACUAGAGUGCGGAAGGGGCAACUGGAAUUCUCGGUGUAGCGGUGAAAUGCGUAGAUAUCGAGAGGAACACCGGUGGCGAAGGCGGCGAUCUGGACGAUGACUGACGCUGAGACGCGAAAGCGUGGGGAACAAACAGG